AUUAAGAUGUCUGAUAAAAAGUAAUAAAUUGUAAAUUUAUUUAUGAAUAUAGUGUUCUCUUAAUA
rnacentral:tRNA from 1 species